AUGCUCGCUGAUUAAAAAAAGACGCGUUAUCUGAGGAGCACGUCCAGCUGCUGGUCUUUUCUCCUCCUUCCCCUCCUCCUCCUUCCCCUCCUCUUCCUCUUCCUCCUCCUCUCUGUAAACCGUGGCUGGUCCACUGAUUGUGAUUAUCAGAUAUGAGGGCAU
ensembl:snoRNA SNORD97 small nucleolar RNA SNORD97